rnacentral:rRNA from 1 species
UCUACGGGAGGCAGCAGUGAGGAAUAUUGGUCAAUGGACGAGAGUCUGAACCAGCCAAGUAGCGUGAAGGAUGACUGCCUAUGGGUUGUAAACUUCUUUUAUACGGGAAUAAGUGAGCCACGUGUGGCUUUUUGUAUGUACCGUAUGAAUAAGGAUCGGCUAACUCCGUGCCAGCAGCCGCGGUAAUACGGAGGAUCCGAGCGUUAUCCGGAUUUAUUGGGUUUAAAGGGAGCGUAGGCGGAUUGUUAAGUCAGUUGUGAAAGUUU